rnacentral:rRNA from 1 species
ACAGUGAGUAGCUUGCUAUGAGCUGUUUUAGCGGCGGACGGGUGAGUAACGCGUAGGUAACCUGCCUUGUAGCGGGGGAUAACAGUUAGAAAUAGCUGCUAAUACCGCAUAAGCGCACGGUUCCGCAUGGAACAGUGUGAAAAACUCCGGUGGUGUGAGAUGGACCCGCGUCUGAUUAGCCAGUUGGCGGGGCAACGGCCCACCAAAGCGACGAUCGGUAGCCGGCCUGAGAGGGUGAACGGCCACAUUGGGACUGAGACACGGCCCAAACUCC